CCAAAAGAAUGUCAUCCGGUGUCGAUGUACGUCGCAAAUUGCGUCGAUGCGGAAAUGUUAAUUAAAUGCCCUGAAAAGUCAUGGAGUGACGACAAAAGCUGCAACGCAUGGCGAAGCUAUUUGAGCAAAUGUGACAUUUUUGAGAAUAUUCCGGUGAUAGAUGUGAAUAACGCUCAUCCUCAGUAAAAAUGUUCGUUUUUAAUGACAGCUAUCAGAAAUGC